GACGAACGCUGGCGGCGUGCUUAACACAUGCAAGUCGAGCGAUGAAAUCCCUUCGGGGAUGGAUUAGCGGCGGACGGGUGAGUAACACGUGGGUAACCUGCCUCAUAGAGGGGAAUAGCCUUCCGAAAGGAAGAUUAAUACCGCAUAAGAUUGUAGUAUCGCAUGAUGCAGCAAUUAAAGGAGCAAUCCACUAUGAGAUGGACCCGCGUCGCAUUAGCUAGUUGGUGAGGUAACGGCUCACCAAGGCGACGAUGCGUAGCCGACCUGAGAGGGUGAUCGGCCACAUUGGGACUGAGACACGGCCCAGACUCCUACGGGAGGCAGCAGUGGGGAAUAUUGCACAAUGGGGGAAACCCUGAUGCAGCAACGCCGCGUGAGUGAUGACGGUCUUCGGAUUGUAAAGCUCUGUCUUCAGGGACGAUAAUGACGGUACCUGAGGAGGAAGCCACGGCUAACUACGUGCCAGCCGCCGCAGUAAGAC
rnacentral:rRNA from 1 species